GGCCCGUUAGCUCAGUUGGUUAGAGCGUCGUGCUAAUAACGCGAAGGUCGUGGGUUCGAGCCCCCCCACGGGCCA